AAUUGGAGUUAAAGACAAAGGAGAUUGUAUAAUUUAUUUGCUAAGAAUAGUUUUUUAAAAUGGCCUAGUUGUAAAAUUAAACUAUGCAGGGAGAGGACAAAAAAUUGGAAUAUAAAAAAUCUUGAUUGCGUAUGCUGCUAUUGAAACUGUAAAGUCAAAUAAGCAUGGCUUAUGCAGACAUGUGAUAGAGAUAGUGGAAGAAAAAAUAAUAAUCGUGGGCACCAAAUAUCAUAAGCUCAACACUAUUCAAUAACAAGUAGCUAAGCCAAUAU